UAAGCGUGUGCUAAGUGGAAAAGGAUGUGGAGUUGCGAAGACAACCAGGAGGUUGGCUUAGAAGCAGCCAUCCUUGAAAGAGUGCGUAAUAGCUCACUGGUCAAGUGAUUCCGCGCCGACAAUGUAGCGGGGCUCAAGCACACCGCCGAAGUUGCGUCAUUCAUAUAUUUGGCAGGCCUUCGUGGUCCAGCCGUGUGGAUGGGUAGGGGAGCGUCGUGUGGGCAGUGAAGUCGCGGUGUAAACCAGCGGUGGAGCCUACACGAGUGAGAAUGCAGGCAUGAGUAGCGAAUGACGGGUGAGAAACCCGUCCGCCGAAUGAUCAAGGGUUCCAGGGUCAAGCUAAUCUGCCCUGGGUAAGUCGGGACCUAAGGCGAGGCCGACAGGCGUAGUCGAUGGACAACGGGUUGAUAUUCCCGUACCGGUAAAAAACCGCCAAUAUUGACCUGGUGAUGCUAACCACCCCAAAGACCCACCAUCUUUCCUUCGGGAAGGGUAUCGGGUGUGCGGCGUGGGACCCGAGCCAGGAAGGUAAACGUAUUAACAGGUGUGACGCAGGAAGGUAGCCGAGCCAGGCAAUGGAAUUGACCUGGUCCAAGGAUGUAGGGCGAGUCAUAGGCAAAUCCGUGACUCAUUCAAGCCUGAGACCCGAUAGGCGCCCCUUUUGGGGGGUGAUUCGGUGAUCCUAUGCUGCCAAGAAAAGCAUCGACGUGAGGUUUUAGCCGCCCGUACCCCAAACCGACACAGGUGAUCAGGUAGAGAAUACUAAGGCGAUCGAGAGAAUCAUGGUUAAGGAACUCGGCAAAAUGCCCCCGUAACUUCGGGAGAAGGGGGGCCUGCCUCGUGAUGGAACCUUGCGUUCCGUAGCGAGUGUGGGCCGCAGAGACCAGGGGGAAGCGACUGUUUACUAAAAACACAGGUCCGUGCGAAGUCGCAAGACGAUGUAUACGGACUGACUCCUGCCCGGUGCUGGAAGGUUAAGAGGACCGGUUAGCUCUUUCGAGAGCGAAGCUGAGAAUUUAAGCCCCAGUAAACGGCGGUGGUAACUAUAACCAUCCUAAGGUAGCGAAAUUCCUUGUCGGGUAAGUUCCGACCUGCACGAAUGGAGUAACGACUUCCCCGCUGUCUCAACCAUGAACUCGGCGAAAUUGCAUUACGAGUAAAGAUGCUCGUUACGCGCAGCAGGACGGAAAGACCCCGAGACCUUUACUAUAGUUUGGUAUUGGUGUUCGGUGCAGCUUGUGUAGGAUAGGUGGGAGACUGUGAAGCUCGGACGCUAGUUCGGGUGGAGUCAUCGUUGAAAUACCACUCUGGCUGUACCGGUCACCUAACUUCGGCCCAUGAUCUGGGUCAGGGACAGUGCCUGAUGGGUAGUUUAACUGGGGCGGUUGCCUCCUAAAGAGUAACGGAGGCGCCCAAAGGUUCCCUCAGCCUGGUUGGCAAUCAGGUGGCGAGUGUAAGUGCACAAGGGAGCUUGACUGUGAGAGCGACAGCUCGAGCAGGGACGAAAGUCGGGACUAGUGAUCCGGCGGCACGUUGUGGAACGGCCGUCGCUCAACGGAUAAAAGGUACCUCGGGGAUAACAGGCUGAUCUUGCCCAAGAGUCCAUAUCGACGGCAUGGUUUGGCACCUCGAUGUCGGCUCGUCGCAUCCUGGGGCUGGAGUAGGUCCCAAGGGUUGGGCUGUUCGCCCAUUAAAGCGGUACGCGAGCUGGGUUUAGAACGUCGUGAGACAGUUCGGUCCCUAUCCGCUGCGCGCGCAGGAAAUUUGAGAAGAGCUGUCCUUAGUACGAGAGGACCGGGACGGACGAACCUCUGGUGUGUCAGUUGUACUGCCAAGUGCACCGCUGAUUAGCUACGUUCGGAAGGGAUAACCGCUGAAA
rnacentral:rRNA from 1 species